CUCUAGGAGCACUAAAUUCAGGGAUUGUAGUCAUGUCAGUUUGAUCGUAAUUUAGGUAAAAUCAUUCGUCGAAAAAAUAUAAUUAUAAUGAUGAGUGUGUGCCUGUGUUUUGUUACAAUAUUCGUAAUCCUUAUUGAAAUUAAAGCAUUACGAAGAAUAAACGAUUUUGAAAGUUUCCGGUCAGAUAUAAAUUCCGAUGGUCGUCCCAUUUUGCGAGGGGGGAUGAGUGACUUAACAGGUA